CAAGCGGGGCAGCGGGUCCGUGAGGAGGAGAACGAGGGGGAGGAGGCACCGCGGCUCCGUCCUCUCCCCUUCAGACCGUCCCUCCAGCCCAGCCGGUUCCCUCCGGGUCCGCGCCCGCCGAGCGGAAUCACCCGCCUGUACCUGAGGGCAGAGCGCGGGCCCCAGAGUAGAUCUGGAAUUUGAUCUCUGCUCCCUGUAAUCUCCUGUAACUGAAAAUUCAGUUUUUCCGCCUGCUGACUGCUUUCUCUUUUGCCUUCCCAUUCUCCAGCCUCCUCCUCUCUGCGCUGUGUAGUUGGCUUGGUCACCUCACGUCAGGUUGUGUCCUUCUGUGACAGGAGUAAAGGCUUUUCUGAAAAGGUUUUUAGCAGUAACAGAGGAAUGCAGGGACAAGAGGUAUAGGCUGUGUUCGGUACCUCUCCAGAAGCGGCAAGUCCCAACAAGCAUGUCACCUCCUCUAUCUCCGAUUCUUUUAAAAAGAAGUUAGAUGAGG